AGCGACCCCCACCCUGGCUUCCGCGGCGGAGGGCGUGGCGACGUGGGCUCGUGCGGCCGCUUUCGCCCAGCAUCGACUGGGAGCUCCCUCGGGAUCCGGAGAACCGGAAUGCAGUCCUAGCCCUGCCCUUAAUUUUUUUCAUAUUUGCCUUCGUCCAGUAAUACCUAACAUUUGUGGAGCGUUUCUGGUAUGCCAAGCACGGAUCCUCAAAACAAGCAUCCGGGUUUGGUGACCUGUGAUUUUUGUGCCAGAGAUGACACAUGCGCCUGUUGGAAUUGGCACCUGGCCUGGCUGCAACAGACUUGUCCUGCUCCACAACCUGCAAAUGACUCCACAGCUGGAAGAAUUUGAAGCCCAGCUCAUUUUUGUUUUGCUUUUCCUUUCUAGACUUACAUAUUAAACAUAUUUGCCUUGGAAGAAAAAA
rnacentral:lncRNA from 10 species